rnacentral:rRNA from 1 species
UACGUAGGGUGCAAGCGUUGUCCGGAAUUAUUGGGCGUAAAGAGCUCGUAGGCGGUUUGUCGCGUCUGCUGUGAAAACCCGGGGCUCAACUUCGGGCUUGCAGGCGAUACGGGCAGACUUGAGUGUUUCAGGGGAGACUGGAAUUCCUGGUGUAGCGGUGAAAUGCGCAGAUAUCAGGAGGAACACCGGUGGCGAAGGCGGGUCUCUGGGAAACAACUGACGCUGAGGAACGAAAGCGUGGGUAGCAAACAGG